AAAAACCAAAUUUUUCUAUCACCUCUGAACACGACUUGAGUUGACUCGAGUUCACCAAGUCACUUGAAAUGUUCAGUUCUCUACUUGUCAAACAAAGGAGAGCUAUUAAAAUGAGUAUCAUUGAUUUGGUGCUCUCUGUAUCAGAGUCUUGUGCCCUGAGCGAGGGAGAACAACAGAGUUACUGACUGCCUGUCUCCCUGUCUGCCAGACUUCCAGCACAAUGCGCACACACACAGUCCAAUCACUGGAAUCUAUUUAUGGGUCCCAAAUGGCACCCUAAUUCAUAUAUAGCGCACUUGUCUUUGGUCAAAAGUAGUGCACUAUGUAGGGAACAGGUAGCCGUUUGGAACACACAUGAAAUCUAUUGCAUCACACUGUAUGACAGCUUCCGUUUCCAGCUGUUGGCAAAGUAUCAAGGCAUUGUCUGUCAGUGUCACAGCUGCGCUAUCAAUCCUGUUUUUUUUUUAUUACAUCGCUUUACCUGGUGGUGGACAGUAGAGGGCAGUAUAUUUCUCCGAGGGAGACGCUCGCAACUCGACUCGCUUCCUUCCACAGCACAGGAGUUCAGAUGUUUGGAGAUAUAUAUAGUGAUUUAAAUAUGCCAAGUGAGAAUGCUAGUAGGCCACACGAGGCGAAUCUAGACAUCGUCAUUCCUGAAAUCUAAAUAGCAGAUCGGGAUCAACAGACGACUACGCUAGUUAAUAAGUGCGACCGAUAUGAGAAAGAUUAAAGAUUGUUGUCCACCAUUGAUGCCUUUCAGAGAAUACAUACAAUAGAGACAUCUGGACGAUCAGUCACUCCAUCUAGCAGACACCUGGACCAUCAGUCACUGAUAUAGCAGACAUCUGGACGAUCAGUCACUCCAUCUAGCAGACAUCUGGACCAUCAGUCACUGAUAUAGCAGACAUCUGGACCAUCAGUCACUCCAUCUAGCAGACAUCUGGACCAUCAGUCACUCCAACUAGCAGACAUCUGGACCAUCAGUCACUCCAACUAGCAGACAUCUGGACCAUCAGUCACUCCAUCUAGCAGACAUCUGGACCAUCAGUCACUCCAUCUAGCAGACAUCUGGACCAUCAGUCACUCCAACUAGCAGACAUCUGGACCAUCAGUCACUCCAUCUAGCAGACAUCUGGACCAUCAGUCACUCCAUCUAGCAGACAUCUGGACCAUCAGUCACUCCAUCUAGCAGACAUCUGGACCAUCAGCCAGAUAUCAUCUCAAUAUCACAAUGAGUACGUUUACAUGCACACUAAUAAUCCAAUAUUAAACUGAUUAUAGCUGAAGGCAGAGUAUUGCAUUAGUCAUGUAAACACUUUACUCUGCGUAUCUUAAUCGGCGUAAGGUGAAAAUCGAAGUAAGCAUACGCCGAUUAAAACACCUGGUUUUCUGAUCCAUCUUUCAGGUCAUUAAUAAUCGACGUUCAAGGUGUGUAUUUGAUCUGCGCAAGUGCUAGCACCAGCCGAGAGCCUCCCUCUUUACAAGCCAGUGAAAGCGCCAUCAGGUAGCCUGAUCUCAGAUCUGUCCAGGUAAACAGGAUGAUUUCAGAGCUGUCCAGGUAAACAGGAUUAUUAACAGGAUUAUUCAUCGAACUACACUGAACAAAAAUAUAAACGCAACAUGUAAAGUGUUGGUCCCAUGUUUCAUGAGCUGAAAUAAAAGAUCCCAGAAAUGUUCCAUGCGCAC
rnacentral:lncRNA from 1 species